rnacentral:rRNA from 1 species
GAUGAACGCUGGCGGCGUGCCUAAUACAUGCAAGUCGAACGAACAGACGCGGCUCUUGCUCCUCUGUCGUUAGCGGCGCACGGGUGAGUAACACGUGGAUAACCUACCUAUCAGACUGGUAUCUUUUCGGGAAACCGGCGCUUAUACCUGAUAAUCUAUUGAACCGCAUGGUUCAUUAGUAAAUUACGGUUUUUCUGUCACUUAUCGCUGGUUCCGCGCUGCAUUGGCUAGUUGGUACGGUAAAGGCUUACCAAGGCAACGAUGCGUAGCCGGCCGUAGAGGGGGGUAGGCCACACGAGAGCUGGACCACGGUCCAGGAGCCUGAGGGAGGGAGCAGUAGGGAAUCUUCCGCAAUUGGCGAAAGGCUGACGGAGCAAAGGCGCGUGAGUGAAGAAAGUUCUCGGAUCGGAAAACUGUGUUUUUAGGGAAGAACAAAUGUGUAAGUAACUAUGCACGUCUUGACGGUACCUAACCAGAAAGCCACGGCUAACUACGUG